UGGUUCUAGUCUUUUUGCUUGUCAGAGGACGGUACUACUGAAAAGCAAUAUUAUGGUUAGAAUCAUCGUUAUAGCCUUUAUAUGUUAUCAUUGCAUGUUUGUAUCUAAAUGAAGGAUUUCUGGUGAUUCCAAUCAUCUGAUCGACAAAGGAUUUAGUCUUGCUAUUGGACUAAUUAUCUAGCACGUACAAUCUCUGCUUUGCUUGAGACAUCAGAUCCCUCGAAAGGUCGUAAUGGAUUUGAACUGGUUUUGAGCCUUUAGAGUAUAAUUCACCCUUUCCCCCCUUCCUGAGUUGCAUCUUGGCUUAACUCGGUAACAAGAAAUGCCAGAGCUUUGUGACUGAGUUACAGAGGCAUGGGAUCUCUAUAAUCUUCAAAAGUCGGAGGAGUGAUUUUACGAAGAUGGAGCAGAUGAAUCAGAAAGGUACUUAGACUAGUAUUACCUUUGAGAUUCACCAUAAUUUAUCGUGUUAUGGAAACAACUGACAAGUACUAAAUAUUGAUCCUAAUUAAAAUCGAUAUAAAGAAGAAGAGGCUAGAGAGAAAGCAAGAGAAGAUCCUCCAAGUCGUAUUGCAGAUUAUCGGUUGAAUGAUUAAUCACUUCCUGCUGGUGAGAGAUGGUUGAAGGAGAAAACUCUGAACGAUGGUUGAAAGAGAAAACUCAACAGCAGGACUCGUUACUGAAAAUGUUGAUCCAGUGCUGUGGUCAAGCAAAAUUAAGAGAAAAACAGAGGGUUUUGAUGCGUACUGUUCUCAUAUCCUUUGACUUGCAAAAUAUAAUAUUGUGUUAAAGAUUAUUUCUGCUCGAUAAUUUGAUCUCUGGUGGAGGAUCCUCCUUCGAAGUUUGAUCUUGUCGAAUGAUCAUAAGGUCAAAAAUAUACGACAGCAUUUUGUGCAUGAAGUGGUGAUUGAAUAUUUAUGUGGAAGAUUUUAGCUAAAUGGCCGAGCAAUAUCUCACUCAAUUGUUAGAAUGAGGUUCGAAUACUAAAAUGAAUGUCAAGAUUUUAGCUAAAUGGCCGAGCAAUAUCAUUUAGCUAAAAAUUGAUCACAUGUUUCUAACAAUUGGAAAAAUUUAUCACAUGAAUGUCGUGCUUUGAAUUCUACAA